UCGGGUAAGUUCCGACCUGCACGAAUGGAGUAACGAUUUCCCUACUGUCUCCACCAUGAACUCGGUGAAAUUGCAUUACGAGUAAAGAUGCUCGUUACGCGCAGCAGGACGGAAAGACCCCGGGACCUUUACUAUAGUUUGGUAUUGGUGAUUGGGACGGUUUGUGUAGGAUAGGUGGGAGACGUUGAUGCGGCCACGCUAGUGGUGGUGGAGUCGUUGGUGAAAUACCACUCUGAUUGUUCUGGUUAUCUCACUGUGGACCGUGAUCCGGUUCAAGGACAGUGCCUGAUGGGUAGUUUGACUGGGGCGGUCGCCUCCUAAAGGGUAACGGAGGCG
rnacentral:rRNA from 1 species